UACGGAGGGUGCGAGCGUUGUUCGGAAUCACUGGGCGUAAAGCGCGUGUAGGCGGUCCGGUAAGUCCGCUGUGAAAGUCGGGGGCUUAACCCUCGGAUGCCGGUGGAUACUGUCGGGCUUGAGUACGGAAGAGGCGAGUGGAAUUCCUGGUGUAGCGGUGAAAUGCGCAGAUAUCAGGAGGAACACCAAUUGCGAAGGCAGCUCGCUGGGACGUUACUGACGCUGAGACGCGAAAGCGUGGGGAGCAAACAGG
rnacentral:rRNA from 1 species